GGGAAUGUAGCUCAGUGGUAGAGCACUUGCCUAGCGUGCAUGAAGUCGUAGGUUCAAUCCUCAGUACCA
rfam:Ictidomys tridecemlineatus contig033780, whole genome shotgun sequence.